UUUAUAUAUCAUAAUCAUUUUCCUAAUUCUCGUGCCUAGAGAGCACUAAGUCAAUUUGAGACAUUUUGAGUAUUUUCAACUUUGGUGUUU